UACGUAGGGUGCAAGCGUUGUCCGGAAUUAUUGGGCGUAAAGAGCUCGUAGGCGGUUUGUCGCGUCUGCUGUGAAAACCCGAGGCUCAACCUCGGGCCUGCAGUGGGUACGGGCAGACUAGAGUGCGGGAGAGGAGAGUGGAAUUCCCGGUGUAGCGGUGAAAUGCGCAGAUAUCGGGAAGAACACCCGUGGCGAAGGCGGCUCUCUGGAACGCAACUGACGCUGAGACGCGAAAGCGUGGGGAGCAAACAGG
rnacentral:rRNA from 1 species